GACGAACGCUGGCGGCGUGCUUAACACAUGCAAGUCGAACGGAAAGGCCCUGCUUUUGUGGGGUGCUCGAGUGGCGAACGGGUGAGUAACACGUGAGUAACCUGCCCUUGACUUUGGGAUAACUUCAGGAAACUGGGGCUAAUACCGGAUAGGAGCUCCUGCUGCAUGGUGGGGGUUGGAAAGUUUCGGCGGUUGGGGAUGGACUCGCGGCUUAUCAGCUUGUUGGUGGGGGAGUGGCUUACCAAGGCUUUGACGGGUAGCCGGCCUGAGGGGGUGACCGGCCACAUUGGGGCUGAGGUACCGCCCAGACGCCUACGGGAGGCAGCAGUGGGGAAUAUCUCCCAAAGGGCGGAGGCCUGAUGCAGCACCGCCGCGUGCGGGAUGACGGCCUUCGGGUUGUAAACCGCUUUCGCCUGUGACGAAGCGUGAGUGACGGUAAUGGGUAAAGAAGCACCGGCGAAUUACGU
rnacentral:rRNA from 1 species